rnacentral:rRNA from 1 species
ACCGGAGCUAAUACCGGAUAAUAUUUUGAACCGCAUGGUUCAAAAGUGAAAGACGGUCUUGCUGUCACUUAUAGAUUGAUCCGCGCUGCAUUAGCUAGUUGGUAAGGUAACGGCUUACCAAGGCAACGAUGCAUAGCCGACCUGAGAGGGUGAUCGGCCACACUGGAACUGAGACACGGUCCAG